rnacentral:misc_RNA from 1 species
GAUGAAGAACGCAGCGAAAUGCGAUAAGUAAUGUGAAUUGCAGAAUUCCGUGAAUCAUCGAAUCUUUGAACGCACAUUGCGCCCCCUGGUAUUCCGGGGGGCAUGCCUGUCCGAGCGUCAUUGCUGCCCUCAAGCACGGCUUGUGUGUUGGGCCUCCGUCCUCCUCCCGGGGGACGGGCCCGAAAGGCAGCGGCGGCACCGCGUCCGGUCCUCGAGCGUAUGGGGCUUCGUCACCCGCUCUUGUAGGCCCGGCCGGCGCUUGCCGACACAUCAAUCUUUUUUCCAGGUUGACCUCGGAUCAGGUAGGGAUACCCGCUGAACUUAAGCAUAUCAUAAGCGGAGGA